UGAGGAAUAUUGCGCAAUGGGCGAAAGCCUGACGCAGCGACGCCGCGUGGAGGAUGAAGGUCUUCGGAUUGUAAACUUCUGUUAAGUGGGAAGAAAGGCGCAGAUUUAAUAGAUUUGCGAGAUGACGGUACCAUUAAAGAAAGCACCGGCUAACUUCGUGCCAGCAGCCGCGGUAAUACGAAGGGUGCGAGCGUUAUUCGGAAUGAUUGGGCGUAAAGGGUGCGCAGACGGUGUGUUAAGUCAACUGUUAAAUUCUUCGGCCUAACCGGGGGUAAGCAGUAGAAACUGGCAUGCUAGAGGGUGAAAGAGAGAAGUGGAAUUCUCGGAGUAGCGGUAAAAUGUGUAGAUCUCGAGAGGAACACCGAUGGCGAAGGCAGCUUCUUGGUUCAUUUCUGACGUUCAUGCACGAAAGCGUGGGGAGCAAACAGG
rnacentral:rRNA from 1 species